rnacentral:rRNA from 1 species
AUUGAACGCUGGCGGCAUGCCUUACACAUGCAAGUCGAACGGUAACGGGCCUUCGGGUGCCGACGAGUGGCGAACGGGUGAGUAAUACAUCGGAACGUGCCCUGUAGUGGGGGAUAACUAGUCGAAAGAUUAGCUAAUACCGCAUACGACCUGAGGGUGAAAGUGGGGGACCGCAAGGCCUCAUGCUAUAGGAGCGGCCGAUGUCUGAUUAGCUAGUUGGUGGGGUAAAGGCCUACCAAGGCGACGAUCAGUAGCUGGGCUGAGAGGACGAUCAGCCACACUGGGACUGAGACACGGCCCAGACUCCUACGGGAGGCAGCAGUGGGGAAUUUUGGACAAUGGGCGAAAGCCUGAUCCAGCAAUGCCGCGUGUGUGAAGAAGGCCUUCGGGUUGUAAAGCACUUUUGUCCGGAAAGAAAUGGCUCUGGUUAAUACCUGGGGUCGAUGACGGUACCGGAAGAAUAAGGACCGGCUAACUACGUGCCAGCCGCCGCAGUAAGAC